UACGGGGGGGGCAAGCGUUGUUCGGAUUUACUGGGCGUAAAGGGCGCGUAGGCGGCGUGGUAAGUCACUUGUGAAAUCUCUGAGCUUAACUCAGAACGGCCAAGUGAUACUGCUGUGCUAGAGUGCAGAAGGGGCAAUCGGAAUUCUUGGUGUAGCGGUGAAAUGCGUAGAUAUCUGGAGGAAUACCGGUGGCGAAGGCGGCAUCCUGGACCGGCAUUGGCGCUGAGGAGCGAAAGCCAGGGGAGCAAACGGG
rnacentral:rRNA from 1 species